rnacentral:rRNA from 1 species
CAGCCGCCGCGGUAAUACGGAGGGUGCAAGCGUUAAUCGGAAUUACUGGGCGUAAAGCGCACGCAGGCGGUCUGACAAGUCAGAUGUGAAAUCCCCGGGCUUAACCUGGGAACUGCAUUUGAAACUGUCAGGCUGGAGUCUUGUAGAGGGGGGUGGAAUUCCAGGUGUAGCGGUGAAAUGCGUAGAGAUCUGGAGGAAUACCGGUGGCGAAGGCGGCCCCCUGGACAAAGACUGACGCUCAGGUGCGAAAGCGUGGGGAGCAAACAGGAUUAGAGACCCCGGUAGUCCCUGUCUCUUAUAA